ensembl:lncRNA
UGUAACAGGUUGUCCAGCAAGGUUGUGGAUGCCGGCCUGUAAGAGACUAUUCUUUUAUAUCAUUGACUCAAAGUUUGCUGAGGAACAAGUCCAGGCAAGUCCUGGGCAAAGGCAGAGAAAUCUUUUGUCUUGAGGACACUGAUGGACAGGUACUGGCUAAGGAUUGUGAAAUCCUCUAAGGAGCACAGAUGGACAAGGCCAGGGGCAUCGAGAGAGAGAUAAGCUGCCGCUAAUGACCGUUUGCUGACGGACUUCCCUGGGCCUGCUACCUGAGACCUGCUGCUUCCUCCCUGACCUGCACCCUCUCCUUGCCCAAGACCGGCCUCGCUGCUCCUGCC